AUGGAAAGCAGCCAGCUGAAGAAGCUGGCUCUCCUGCUGAGGAACAAGGAGGAGCCACUGAUGAGCCGGGUGGCCAAAUCGGAGAACGAACGCGUCAAGUUCCUGAAAAACGUCAACGGCGCAUACGACAAGGCGGUGAGCCUGCUGGACGACAGCGCCGCCAUGAAGGAGAAGUACGCCGGAGAAGGAGGCCACAAGGCUGGCAUCGCCGCGGAAGUCGCCGACUACGUCAAGCACUGCCUCAACAUGGCGAUGCAGAAUGUCCGUGACUGCAGCCUGCGGGUGAGGUGCGUGGACAAGAUGAGGGCGCACUAUGAGUCCCUUGCCACGGAGGUCGCAGAGCUGGACCUGGAGGAUGCGCCCAGCGUCGAGCGCCUAGCUGUGGACACGGCCAAGCUGAACAAAUGCAUGCUGGAGUACUUGAGAAAGUACCGCAGCCCCUCGGCCCGGGCGUCCUCCAAGUUGUACUCCAUGGUGCUCAAGCAAGAGGGGGUCAAGUUCCCGGACCUGGUGAGCAGGCACCAGGGCGAGCUUGGCUUCGAGGGCGCGUUCGAGGACCUGACAGAGGCGCAGAAGCUCGAGGUUUACAACAGCAUCAUCGAAGAGUCCGGCCGGGCAACCGGAAUACAGGUGGUGGGCGCGACGCUGGGGGUGGCCGUGCUGUUCGUGGCCGCCGGGCUUAUGGUGUGGGACAUAUUCACGGCGGCGCACAAGCUUGAGACCGUGCUCCACAGCAGCGUCAACGCGCUGUCGGCCGUCGGCGCCUUCGCCGUGCAGGUGGCGGUGGAGGGCGCCAUCGCGGAGGCGGUGGUGGACGUGGAGAUGGGCGUGUUCCUGGUGUCGCUCGCCGGGUUUGUGGCCUGUAGUGUGGCUGGCCUCGUCUUUACUGCCGCCGGUGGGUUGCUGAUUGAAAUGAUCCUUGGUUCAGGAGGCUCCAAGGCGCCUCCGGUCGCCGACCUUAGCUUCCAUACUGCACCCACGCCUGACGGCAUGGCUAUUGCCUACCAACUCGCUCAUGACUGA
rnacentral:rRNA from 1 species